rnacentral:pre_miRNA from 1 species
CCCUUAACUAUUAAAGUUUCGUUUUGGUCCCUUAACUUACUUUUUGGUUUCGUUUUGGUCCCUUAACUCUUUCUCCGUCAACCACUUUGGUCCUUUAUGUUAGGAUGAAUGUAUUAGAGUUAAGGACCAAAACGAAAUCAAAAAAUAAGUUAAGUGACCAAAACGAAACCAAAAAAUAAGUUAAGGAACCAAAAAGAAACUUUUAAUAGUUAAGGGACCAAAACAAAACCAAAAAAUAAGUUAAGGGACCAAAACGAAACUUUUAAUAAUUAAGGGA